rnacentral:rRNA from 1 species
CCUACGGGGGGCUGCAGUGGGGAAUAUUGCACAAUGGGCGAAAGCCUGAUGCAGCGACGCCGCGUGAGGGAUGACGGCCUUCGGGUUGUAAACCUCUUUCAGUAGGGAAGAAGCGAGAGUGACGGUACCUGCAGAAGAAGCGCCGGCUAACUACGUGCCAGCAGCCGCGGUAAUACGUAGGGCGCAAGCGUUGUCCGGAAUUAUUGGGCGUAAAGAGCUUGUAGGUGGCUUGUCGCGUCUGCCGUGAAAACCCGAGGCUCAACCUCGGGCGUGCGGUGGGUACGGGCAGGCUAGAGUGUGGUAGGGGAGACUGGAACUCCUGGUGUAGCGGUGAAAUGCGCAGAUAUCAGGAAGAACACCGAUGGCGAAGGCAGGUCUCUGGGCCAUUACUGACACUGAGAAGCGAAAGCAUGGGUAGCGAACAGGAUUAGAUACCCGAGUAGUC